rnacentral:rRNA from 1 species
GUGCCAGCCGCCGCGGUAAUAUGUAGGUGGCAAGCGUUGUCCGGAUUUAUUGGGCGUAAAGCGAGCGCAGGCGGUUUCUUAAGUCUGAUGCGAAAGCCUUCGGCUCAACCGAAGAAGUGCAUCGGAAACUGGGAAACCUGAGUGCAGAAGAGGACAGUGGAACUCCAUGUGUAGCGGUGAAAUGCGUAGAUAUAUGGAAGAACACCAGUGGCGAAGGCGGCUGUCUGGUCUGUAACUGACGCUGAGGCUCGAAAGCAUGGGUAGCAAACAGGAUUAGAUACCCUGGUAGUCCAUGCCGUAAACGAUGAGUGCUAGGUGUUGGAGGGUUUCCGCCCUUCAGUGCCGCAGCUAACGCAUUAAGCACUCCGCCUGGGGAGUACGACCGCAAGGUUGAAACUCAAAGGAAUUGACGGGGGCCCGCACAAGCGGUGGAGCAUGUGGUUUAAUUCGAAGCAACGCGAAGAACCUUACCAGGUCUUGACAUCCUUUGACCACUCUAGAGAUAGAGCUUUCCCUUCGGGGACAAAGUGACAGGUGGUGCAUGGUUGUCGUCAGCUCGUGUCGUGAGAUGUUGGGUUAAGUCCCGCAACGAGCGCAACCCUUAUUACUAGUUGCCAGCAUUAAGUUGGGCACUCUAGUGAGACUGCCGGUGACAAACCGGAGGAAGGUGGGGACGACGUCAAAUCAUCAUGCCCCUUAUGACCUGGGCUACACACGUGCUACAAUGGAUGGUACAACGAGUUGCGAGACCGCGAGGUUUAGCUAAUCUCUUAAAACCAUUCUCAGUUCGGAUUGUAGGCUGCAACUCGCCUACAUGAAGCCGGAAUCGCUAGUAACCGCGGAUCAGCAUGCCGCGGUGAAUACGUUCCCGGGCCUUGUACACACCGCCCGU